AAAACCACAGCUCCGCGCAGAGGGCUCGGCGUGCGCUCCGGAGAACAGCCUCGCCGCAUUCACUCUGAGUGAUGGUGAGCCGUCGUCGAAAGGUCCUGCAGGACAAUCUCGCCGCCCGUUCUCGUCGCCUGCAGAAAGACCUGGGGACCGGACGACAGAGGCUUGACGUUGAAGGUUUUGCUCUCUUGACCUGUUCGCCUGCAAGAUCAUGUUGAGGAAGUUGGUGGCGUGCAUCACAGUAUCAAGCACGCUGUGGAGG